ACCUGAUGAUGUGGGCAUUUAUGGAGCAGGUCCCUAAAUUGCUCCCAGGUCUCAAAGAAAAGUUCCCCAUCCAUAUGUGAAAAGCUCGUGAUGGCUCUCUGAAGCU